CGGGUCGUAGCGCAGAGGCAGGCGCACCGCAUAGCCAAUGCAGAACACGCUGGUUCGAAUCCAGCCGCCCGU
rnacentral:tRNA from 1 species